UACGUAGGGUGCAAGCGUUAAUCGGAAUUACUGGGCGUAAAGCGUGCGCAGGCGGUUUUGUAAGUCUGUCGUGAAAGCCCCGGGCUCAACCUGGGAAUUGCGAUGGAGACUGCAAGGCUUGAAUCUGGCAGAGGGGGGUAGAAUUCCACGUGUAGCAGUGAAAUGCGUAGAGAUGUGGAGGAACACCGAUGGCUAAGGCAGCCCCCUGGGUCAAGAUUGACGCUCAUGCACGAAAGCGUGGGGAGCAAACAGG
rnacentral:rRNA from 1 species